CGUUUUAUUUCUUUCAGGGUCUGUCCCUCACUGGAUGCCAGACUGUCCUUCGGGAUAUAGCCCAGUGAGCAGGAGAAAAGUGUUUGAAUUUGGUAAAAUGGCCAUAAACAUAAAGAAAGAAACUGGAGCUGCUUCAUCAGUGCCAUAUCAUACUGUGGUUGGCCACAUGAAGAGGAUCAUAUUGAUGAAUUAGUGCAAUGACCCUCCCAGACAUGGAAGGAUACCUCUCACAAGAAAAUCCAUAGGUGACUAAUAGGUGGUCAAUAGUCUUUGAGAUCUGGGAGAAACAUUUUGGUGUAUCUGGAAAUCAAUCUAGAUCUGCCACUGUGGAUAUUUAGUCUUAAUUCAUGCUUUUCUACCACAUUUCAGAAUGUGUCCUGUGUCUGAACACCUUUGCUUUCUUGUUUGUUUGUUUUUUACGUUUGUCAGUCACUACACUACUUAGAAUCAAUUUAACACCCUUCCCUUGUGUGGAGUGGUUCCAGGGAGUGAUGAUUGCAGGAUUAGCCUGCUGGUAAUUAAAUGUUGCUGCCUCUUAGCUUGAAAAUGAAACAGCUCUAUGGAAUUUAGGAGUUUCUUGCUUUAUUUAGGUUGUUAUGUGUCUAAAUAGUAUGGAUAGGUGUACCAAGUCAGUGCAGACACAGUGCGAUCUUAAAAAAAUAAAUUAAAAAUGCAAAAAGAGAAGAGAAAGAAGGAGAGAAAGACAGAGAAGGAAAAGAACAAGAAACUAUGGGAAGGAAAACAAGUUCACUCAGCUCAUUAAGAUUUCGAAUUGCAUGGAAAAUUUUCCAGACUUAGCUGAAUCCUGAGUGUAAUUUCCUAAUUUUGGCUUCAUACAAUCCAGACAGAGUUUCAUGUCGGGACUCAUUUUCACUCGCAGAUGGGUCUUCAAAAUUUGCAGGUGGUAAGUUGUGUAAAAUAGGUCGUGUUGCCUGUUUGUUGAAGCCUGGAGGUAUCCCUGUUCCAGUAAAGCAAGGGCUGGGUUCCUUACCAUUUGUGGACUAAAGAACCCACUGAAUGCUUGCUUCUCAUAUUGGCUUUACCACUAUGAAGAGUUAUAUCUCCUGAAUUCACUGACUAAUGUUUUAAGCAGAAUUAAGCCUUUUUUAAUUUUAUUUUUUCUUAAAAUCUGCUAUCAAAAAUCACAGUAUUCCACCAUUCAAAGACAGUUCUUUGCUUCUUCAAAGACUUGUUAAACUGAUGUGUACCAUCCUCCUUACAGGACUGUAGUGGUGUAACCUCAUAUGAUACAAAUGAUGAGCUUCUAUUUGAAAUAAUAGGGAUGAUGCCUAAUCCUGGACAGUUCUGUCUGGCCUGUGUUAGGGUAAAGAUCAAGGCAUUUGACUGUCAUAAUUGAACCACAGCCUGAGCUUUUUACCUUGAGCUUUUGUUACAUUUAAGGAUUCAUGCUGAAUAACAAUAAUAAAAGAUGAAUCCCA